rnacentral:rRNA from 1 species
AACGUAGGUGGCAAGCGUUAUCCGGAUUUACUGGGCGUAAAGGGUGUGCAGGCGGGCGGUCAAGUGGUGUAUGAAAUCUCCUGGCUCAACCAGGAGCGGUUAUGCCAGACUGACCGUCUUGAGUGCGAGAGAGGGGCGUGGAAUUCCGGGUGUAGUGGUGAAAUGCGUAGAGAUCCGGAGGAACCCCAGAGGCGAAGGCGGCGCCCUGGCUCGCAACUGACGCUCAUACACGACAGCAUGGGGAG